rnacentral:rRNA from 1 species
CGUUCAGGGGUAAACCUGCGAAACUCGAAUGAACGAACGGGGAGAUUCAUCGUCAUUCGGCGGACGACUUUGCGGUUGUACGAUGGGAGGCCCGCCGGCGAUCUCGGUCGUCGGUGUGAGUUUCGCACGCACACCGUGCAGUAUCAUGCUCCGUCGACGGCGUGCACUUCUCCCUUAGUAAUGCAUCGUGACCCGCUCGACGUCGGUCUAAGCACCUAUCGGGAGCCCGAGGCGCAUCGCGCGUCACGGACCGUUACGGUAGCCGGCCGUCUGUUUGGCGGUAGUGAAUAUGAAACGUGCACGCGUUCGUCGCGUCCGGCCCGACGCAAGGUCGUCGCGAUGCCGCUCACACGCCUCUGUGCGUUGAGCGUGUGUCCGGUGCCUGCAUAUCGCAGCCGUGCUGUCUCGGACGUGCGCGUAUCGUGUCAACGAUGUUUUUGUUUCGGGCACUCGCAGGACCCGUCUUGAAACACGGACCAAGGAGUCUAGCAUGUGUGCGAGUCAAUGGGUGUACACAUUAAACCGAAAGGCUCAACGAAAGUGAAGGCACGUGCUCGACACGCGCUCGGGGAGGAUGAUUUCGGCUAUCGCAGUCGAGAUUCGCACUCCUGAGGCGUCCCGUUCGCAAUCUGUCGAUGUGGGCGCGCUCAGAGCACAGAUGCUGGGACCCGAAAGAUGGUGAACUAUGCCUGGUCAGGUCGAAGUCAGGGGAAACCCUGAUGGAGGACCGUAGCGAUUCUGACGUGCAAAUCGAUCGUCGGAACUGGGUAUAGGGGCGAAAGACUAAUCGAACCAUC